rnacentral:rRNA from 1 species
CCUACGGGUGGCAGCAGUGGGGAAUAUUGGGCAAUGGGCGCAAGCCUGACCCAGCAACGCCGCGUGAAGGAAGAAGGCUUUCGGGUUGUAAACUUCUUUUAAGAGGGACGAGCAGAAGACGGUACCUCUUGAAUAAGCCACGGCUAACUACGUGCCAGCAGCCGCGGUAAUACGUAGGUGGCAAGCGUUGUCCGGAUUUACUGGGUGUAAAGGGCGUGCAGCCGGGAAGGCAAGUCAGAUGUGAAAUCCCGGGGCUCAACCGCGGACCUGCAUUUGAAACUGUGUUUCUUGAGUACCGGAGAGGUAAUCGGAAUUCCUUGUGUAGCGGUGAAAUGCGUAGAUAUAAGGAAGAACACCAGUGGCGAAGGCGGAUGGCUGGACAGCAACUGACGGUGAGGCGCGAAAGCGUGGGGAGCAAACAGGAUUAGAUACCCCUGUAGUC